GCCGACGUGGUGAAAUUUGGUAGACACGCUAUCUUGAGGGGGUAGUAGCGAAAGCUGUGCGAGUUCGAGUCUCGCCGUCGGCACCA
rnacentral:tRNA from 1 species